CUUGAAAAUAAGUUAAUAAUUGUAUCUCAAAAUUUAUAGAAAAAUAAAAUAUAUUAGUUGUGAAAUAAUAUUAUCUAUUUGUCUAUCAUAAAUAUUAAACUUUUACAAAAAACUAGGGUUAGUAGCCUAUUAUGAUUAAAUUAAAUUUUUUAAGGUAUUAAAAGACUAAUCUCUAAACCUAAAUAACAUGGCAGUAUUUUACCCCUUGCAGAGGAACUUGAAUAUUAAUUAGAUACUCCCCUUUAUUUCUUACUUAAUUUUAUUUUGUGUGUGGUUGUUAAAAUAAAUAUUAAAUUAUAAGUUUUAAAUCAGAUGACAUGCAUAGAUAAUUAAGGUAAUUUUAGUUACAAYUGAUAAGUUUAUUAGAAAUUCAAAUAUAGGAUUUGCAAGUAUUAAUAGAGAAAAAUAAGAAGAGGUUUUAAAAUGUGUACAUAUUGUCCGUCACUCUCAGAAAU
rnacentral:rRNA from 1 species